rnacentral:rRNA from 1 species
UACGGGGGGGGCAAGCGUUGUUCGGAAUUACUGGGCGUAAAGGGCGCGUAGGCGGCCUUCUAAGUCGGACGUGAAAUCCCUCGGCUCAACCGAGGAACUGCGUCUGAUACUGGAAGGCUUGAAUCCGGGAGAGGGAUGUGGAAUUCCAGGUGUAGCGGUGAAAUGCGUAGAUAUCUGGAGGAACACCGGUGGCGAAGGCGGCAUCCUGGACCGGUAUUGACGCUGAGGCGCGAAAGCUAGGGGAGCAAACGGG